rnacentral:rRNA from 1 species
GACGAACGCUGGCGGCGUGCUUAACACAUGCAAGUCGAACGGAAAGGCCCUGCUUUUGUGGGGUGCUCGAGUGGCGAACGGGUGAGUAACACGUGAGUAACCUGCCCUUGACUUUGGGAUAACUUCAGGAAAUUGGGGCUAAUACCGGAUAGGAGCUCCUGCUGCAUGGAGGGGGUUGGAAAGUUUCGGCGGUUGGGGAUGGACUCGCGGCUUAUCAGCUUGUUGGUGGGGUAGUGGCUUACCAAGGCUUUGACGGGUAGCCGGCCUGAGAGGGUGACCGGCCACAUUGGGACUGAGAUACGGCCCAGACUCCUACGGGAGGCAGCAGUGGGGAAUAUUGCACAAUGGGCGGAAGCCUGAUGCAGCAACGCCGCGUGCGGGAUGACGGCCUUCGGGUUGUAAACCGCUUUCGCCUGUGACGAAGCGUGAGUGACGGUAAUGGGUAAAGAAGCACCGGCUAACUACGUGC